rfam:Pan troglodytes isolate Yerkes chimp pedigree #C0471 (Clint) chromosome 15, whole genome shotgun sequence.
GGAUGUGAGGGCAAUCUGGCUGCAACAUCUCUCACCCCAUUGAUUGCCAAGGUUGAUUCUGCUGAUCUGGCUGGCUAGACGGGUGUUGCCUUCCUCCCUUACCACUGUGUGUGUCCUUCCUGAAGCUGUACAUUCAGAUGAAGAGGACGACCAUCCCCAAUAGAGGAAGACCAGUCUUCAGUCAUGGAUAUAAGAUUAGCUGCACUCCCCUGCUAGAACUUCCAAACAGGUUUUCAAAAUAUUACUACUCAUUGACAAUGCACCUGGUCACCCAAGAGCUCUGAUGGAGAUGUAGAAGAAGAUUAAUGUUGUUGCCAUGCCUGCUAACACAUCUAUUCUGUAGCCCAUGGAUUAAGCAGUGAU